rnacentral:rRNA from 1 species
AUGAGAGUUUGAUCCUGGCUCAGAACGAACGCUGGCGGCAGGCCUAACACAUGCAAGUCGGACGAGAAGGUACCUUCGGGUACUGGAGAGUGGCGCACGGGUGAGUAACGCGUGGGGACCUACCUCUUAGUGGGGGAUAACGGUUGGAAACGACCGCUAAUACCGCAUACGCCCUUCGGGGGAAAGAUUUAUCGGUGAAAGAUCGGCCCGCGUUAGAUUAGCUAGUUGGUAGGGUAAUGGCCUACCAAGGCGACGAUCUAUAGCUGGUCUGAGAGGAUGAUCAGCCACACUGGGACUGAGACACGG